CCAUAAACCAAGCCCCACCCCACAAAUGCCACCACUAAACCUCAAAACAAACUAAACCAUUCAACUAAACUAGUAAAGGCGAUUGAAAACUCUCUAGGAGCUUUAAAAAUAGUACCGCAAGGGAAAUGUGAAAUAACAAUGAAAUACACAAGCCACCAAAAGCAAGGAUUAACCCCUGUACCUUUUGCAUCAUGGUCUAUCUAGCCCAACCAAGCAAAGUGGUACUCAAGUUUGCCCCCCCGAAACUAAGCGAGCUACUUCAAAACAGCCUAAAGAGCCAACCCGUCUCUGUUGCAAAAGAGUGGGAAGAUUUUCAAGUAGAGGUGAUAAGCCUAUCGAGCCUAGUGAUAGCUGGUUAUUCAGGAAAUGGAUCUAAGUCCCCCCUUAAACAACCACGUACCAACUAAUACCACCCCCCCCCCCCGUUUAAGAGCCAUUCAAAUAAGGUACAGCCUAUUUGACACAGGAGACAACCUCAAGCUCCGGGUAAUGUCCUCAAUUUAUAGUGAAGUAGGCCUAACAGCAGCCACCUUUAAAAAAGCGUUUAAGCUUUACUACAUGAACCAAUAAUACCACCAAUAUAACAAAACCCACAAUUACUACUGAAUUACUCCAUAUCUAUAUGGAAAAACCUAUGCUAGAACCAGUAACAAGAAAAGACAUUCUCCAAAGUGCAACCAUAAGCCACACCUACACUACUGACAUUUAUCGUCAUGAUGAAUGGUAGCAACUUCACUAGAAAGCCCUACCAAUACUAACGUUAAACUUACACUAGAGCACUACCGGAAAGAUUAAAAAAGGAGGAAGGAACUCGGCAAACACUAACCCCGCCUGUUUACCAAAAACACCGCCUCCCGUCCUCAUGAGAGGUCCAGCCUGCCCAGUGGAUUUACUAAACGGCCGCGGUACCCUAACCGUGCUAAGGUAGCGCAAUCACUUGUCCCCUAAAUAGGGACUCGUAUGAACGGCACCACGAGGGUUAUCCUGUCUCCCCCCUUUAAUCAGUGAAACUGACCUCCCCGUGAAGAGGCGGGGAUAAGUAUAUAAGACGAGAAGACCCCAUGGAGCUUUAAAUACACACCACCUACUUCUCCUUAUAUCUAUAAAACCAAGUAGCUCUGGCCACUGUUUUAGGUUGGGGCGACCACGGAGUAAAACUCAACCUCCGAGACGAACAACUAAUUCAAGAACAACAACUCAAAAAAUCAAAACUGACGUAAUUGACCCAAGCUCAUUUGAUCAACGAACCAAGUUACCCUGGGGAUAACAGCGCAAUCCAUUUCAAGAGCCCCUAUCAACAAAUGGGUUUACGACCUCGAUGUUGGAUCAGGGUACCCCAGUGGUGUAGCCGCUACUAAAGGUUCGUUUGUUCAACGAUUAAAACCCUACGCGAUCUGAGUUCAAACCGGAGUAAUCCAGGUUGGUUUCUAUCUAUAAGGAGUUCUCCCUAGUACGAAAGGACCGGGAAAACAUGGCCUAUAUCCAAGACAAGCCAUAACCCAAACUAGUGAAUUAAACUAAACUAACUCACGACCACAAUCAAAUUUUAGAUAAUAAU
rnacentral:rRNA from 1 species